AUUGAACGCUGGCGGCAGGCUUAACACAUGCAAGUCGAGCGGGGGAAGGUAGCUUGCUACCGGACCUAGCGGCGGACGGGUGAGUAAUGCUUAGGAAUCUGCCUAUUAGUGGGGGACAACACCUCGAAAGGGAUGCUAAUACCGCAUACGUCCUACGGGAGAAAGCAGGGGAUCUCCGGACCUUGCGCUAAUAGAUGAGCCUAAGUCGGAUUAGCUAGUUGGGGGGGUAAAGGCCUACCAAGGCGACGAUCUGUAGCGGGUCUGAGAGGAUGGUCCGCCACACUGGGACUGAGACACGGCCCAGACUCCUACGGGAGGCAGCAGUGGGGAAUACUGGACAAUGGGGGGAACCCUGAUCCAGCCAUGCCGCGUGUGUGAAGAAGGCCUUAUGGUUGUAAAGCACUUUAAGCGAGGAGGAGGCUACUUUAGUUAAUACCUAGAGAUAGUGGACGUUACUCGCAGAAUAAGCACCGGCUAACUCUGUGUCAGCCGCCGCAGUAA
rnacentral:rRNA from 1 species